UCCCUGUAGGCUCUGGAGUUGCAAUGCACCAAUUGAUAAACAGACACUCUCAAUUCUUGAAGCAUGAGCAUCCCUGAUGAUUACAGACAGCCACUGUCUCCAGUUUUGCCUGCGGGAUAUUCCGGUGUGCUACUCCAUUAUUCACUGCAUGAAAAGAAGAAGAAAAGAAGGAAAAUAUUAUGUAAAGAAGCUCACAGCAGUUUUAGGAAAAAGGACGAGUCAAGAGAAGGAAAGAGAGAGAGAAAGAGAGAAGGCACAAGGUACCAUUGCUCUUCUCCCAUCUUUUCUUUGAAACCCAAGGUGAGGAAUUGAAGUGAAUAAAAGGACAGGUUAGUUGUAAAAUUCAGAAACAGAGACAGAAUGGACUUGUGUCCUAUUUCCAGUUUGAGACUCUGGUUGGAGGCAGCCUGGCGGAGUACUCUUUGCUACAAGGAGCGUCUGCAGCAAGUGUAGAAACCAAAUAGCAUGAGAGAGGGGCAGGGAAGAAGGGAGCUCCUGUCCCUUUCCUUCAGUUCCCUCAUACCUGUUGGUAGCACUGAAGAGAUUCAGAAUUUCCCAUAUGUCCCCACUGACGCUGAAGGUUGAGAGACAGCAGGUUUGUAAUGGGGCUGUAGUAGUGAAGGGAGAAGAGAAUCCCCACCAGAAGCUGACAAGAGGGCAGACUCAGCCAGGUUUCAGACAGAUCCCAAGGCUGAGACUUGGAUGAUCUAAAGCGCCAAGAGGAAUGAGAUGGGGCUGAGGUACAGGAUAUGUACUGCUGGACUAUGGCUGGACUGAGAGGAGAAAUUAGCAUGAUACCAGCUGUACAACUUCACAAGCAGAGGUAGAGAGGAUAGAGACCAACAUGAGCACAGGUAAAAUGAGUUUACCUCAGCCAAGAGCCAAUAGGAGCUAGAGAGGAGCAUGGGGCUGGUUUAGCAUCAGGGGUCCUGCCACAAUACCAUACGGACAUGUAAAUGUCUUCUUGUACACACCUGUUUUUUGGAAAACCUUUGACUGAGGUGAGAUAGCCUGAUGAGGAGUUUCAACUUUACAUCAACUUACCCUUUGCCAAAAAUGGUAGGAAUUAACCUAAAAGGAGAUGUUUUAAAAUGUAAGAGAUUGAGCCACUUUGUAGUGACAGAUUUAGGUCUUCUUUCAUCUCAAAGUUCAUUACCGUGAUGGCUUAGAACAAGAUGAAGAUGUGAUAUGGAUCAUAUGCACGCUUUUUACACAACUGUAUU
rnacentral:lncRNA from 1 species